GGUCAUCCAAGGGACCCUGACUGGAAGCCAGACUCCUAGUCCAGAGCUGAGAUGAAUGAAGCCACAAGCUGUGCCAGGUGUAGAGGCAUACCCCCUCACCAUGCCAUCCUUUAGCAAUGAACUUUUCUGUGCCUAAAGUGAAUUGAUCCUGGAAAGUCAUCAUCAGCCAAACAGACCUAUCACAAACAAAUGCACCACAAGAAAGGGAUAACUUGCUAUCUAAAGCAAAAAUUAAUUUGCACCUCAACAGAUGUAAGUGAAGACAAAAUUAUCCAUCUGCCAGGUUUUGAUCCAUGGCAUGUUCUGCCUUUGACUUCGUGACCACUGAACUUCUUUAGGAGCCCCUUGUGCGAG